AGUCUUAUAUUCAAAAUGAUAUCAAAUUGCAAAUUUGAAGGUGGGGAAACCCUAAGGCUU
rnacentral:tRNA from 2 species